GAUGAACGCUGGCGGCGUGCCUAAUACAUGCAAGUCGAGCGAACGGACGAGAAGCUUGCUUCUCUGAUGUUAGCGGCGGACGGGUGAGUAACACGUGGAUAACCUACCUAUAAGACUGGGAUAACUUCGGGAAACCGGCGCUAAUACCGGAUGAUAUUUUGAACCGCAUGGUUCAAAAGUGAAAGACGGUCUUGCUGUCACUUAUAGAUGGAUCCGCGCUGCAUUAGCUAGUUGGUAAGGUAACGGCUUACCAAGGCAACGAUGCAUAGCCGACCUGAGAGGGUGAUCGGCCACACUGGAAGUGAGACACGGUCCAGACUCCUACGGGAGGCAGCAGUAGGGAAUCUUCCGCAAUGGGCGAAAGCCUGACGGAGCAACGCCGCGUGAGUGAUGAAGGUCUUCGGAUCGUAAAACUCUGUUAUUAGGGAAGAACAUAUGUGUAAGUAACUGUGCACAUCUUGACGGUACCUAAUCAGAAAGCCACGGCUAACUACGUG
rnacentral:rRNA from 1 species